GGAAGGGCGCUACUGCGCAGGCCUCGUCCCCUCCACGGGUCGCUGGCGUCCCCGUGACGUAUUUCCGGCGCGUCUGCGCUGGCGCUGUCCACAGUUGCGGCUAGUGACGCGACGGAUGCGGCGGGAAUGGUAGCUGAGGGCUCUUUCCGCGGGUGAGGCCUGGACAGCGGGCGGACCUGCGGAAAGACCCGUGCAGGCCAGACCCCGGGACCACUCGGCUGCGCUCCCAGACUCUUUGCUGCCUGCAAGCCUCAGAGUGGCAACCUCUCCUGGCCGUCUCCUCUCGUGGGACCCGAAGAACGCGUGCAAAGCAGGGUCCGUCCGCUGUGUACUGCCCGGGCGCACGUUCCGUUCUUCGCGUUUGCCACGAUUCCGUGACUCCCUGAAGGUUAAGUGCUACUAAGUUAGAAGAAACGCCGAGCUGGCUUCUGGUGGGCUGCCGGGCGCCGGGCAGCGUGCUUACUCCGAGUAGCCGCAAGACCUCCUUUAAAAAUACCAGUUCUGAGCUUUGUCGUUGGAGAGGCUGCCUGUCAUUCAGCCCCUUCCGACCGUCUCUCACGCCCUGUCUUCCGGAGCGUGAGUGAAGCCCGGGUGAGGUGUUUUCCCACAUGCCAGGGGCCCGGAGCUGAGGACGGGCGGGCAUGGCCAGCAUCACGCAGCUGUUCGACGACCUGUGUGAGGCCCUCCUGCCGGCUGCCAAGACUCACCUGGGCCAGCGCAGUGUGAACCGGAAGAGGGCAAAGCGGAGCCUCAAGAAGGUGGCCUACAAUGCUCUCUUCACAAACCUUUUUCAAGAGGAGACGCAGCUGCAGCCUGACACGUCGAAACUACCAGCGAGAAACAAGAUCCUCAUGUUGUCCUUUGACUUGAGAGUGGGGGGCCUGGGCCCCAGGGCUGACCGUUUGGAGGAGCUUGUGGAGGAGCUUGAAGCAGCCCCUUGUUGUCCGCUCGUGGAGGUGGGGUCUGUUUUGGACCUCCUCGUUCAGCUGGCAGGGAGCGGUCCGCCUCAAGUGCUGCCGAGAAAACGAGAUUACUUCCUUAACAAGCACGUGGGGAGAAACGUUCCAUACGGCGGCUACGAUUGCUACGACCUGAGUAUGUUGGAGAGGGACGUUCAGUCUCUGAUCUGCAGAGAAGAGUAUUUGUGUCACAACAUGAUCCAGGAUACACUUCAGGUUAUGGAGGCUACUCCAGGCACCGGCCUGCCCACCGUUGGGCUCUUCUCAUUUGGUGACCCCUGUGGUGACAAGUUCGAGAGAGACACCCGGGUCUCACUCUUUGGUGCCCUUGUGCACAGCCGCGCCUACGACCUGGAUAUCCGACUGGACCUGCCCCCCGUGCCGGACAAUGCAGACCUCUCUGGGCUGGCCAUUAAGGUCCCACAGAGUGUGGAUCAGUGGGAAGAUGAAGGAUUCCAGUCAGCAUCCAACCUGACUCCUGAUUCCCAGUCUGAGCCCAGCGUGACCCCAGACAUGGAUCUGUGGGAAGCUGCACUCACCUACGAGGCCAGCAAGCGGAGGUGCUGGGAGCGAGUUGGAUGCCCGCCUGGUCACAGAGAGGAGCCUUACCUGACAGAGGCGGGAAGGGAGGCGUUCGACAAGUUCUGCAGGCUUCGUCACGGGGAGCUACAGCUGCUUGCCGGGGGCGUCCUGCAGGCCCCACAGCCUGUGCUGGUGAAGGAGUGCGAGCUGGUGAAGGAUGUGCUGAACGUCUUGAUUGGGGUUGUGUCUGUCACGUUUUCUCUCUGCCAGCUGGCUCAGGCCUUUGUGGUGAAGCAGGGCAUCCAUGUAUCAGGAGCGUCUCCCGAGAGCAUUAGCAGCCUCCUCUCAGAGGUGGCCGAGUAUGGGACCUGCUACAUGCGCCUGAGCCACUUCUCUCUGCAGCCCGUCCUGGACUCCUCGUACAGCAAAGGCCUUGUGUUCCAGGCCUUCACCAGUGGCCUCAGGAGGUACCUGCAGUAUUACCGGGCCUGCGUCCUCGCCACUCAGCCCACCCUGAGCCUCCUCACCAUUGGUUUUCUCUUCAAGAAGCUGGGCCGGCAGCUGAGGUACCUGGCCGAGCUCUGUGGUGUUGGUGCUGCACUCCCAGGCACCUGCGGAGGAGGGCCCAGGGCCGAGUUUCCCACGGGCGUGAAGCUGCUCUCCUACCUCUAUCAGGAGGCGCUGCACAACUGCAGCAAUGAACACUACCCCGUGCUGCUGUCCCUGCUGAAGACCAGCUGCGAGCCCUACACGCGCUUCAUCCACGACUGGGUGUACAGCGGGGUGUUCAGAGACACUUACGGCGAGUUCAUGAUUCAGGUGAACCAGGAGUACCUCAGCUUCCGAGAUAAGUCAUACUGGACCCAUGGCUACGUGCUCAUCUCCAAAGAGGUAGAGGACUGUGUUCCCGUGUUUCUGAAGCACAUUGCCCAUGACGUGUACGUCUGCGGGAAGACCAUCAACCUGCUGAAGCUCUGCUGUCCACGGCAUUACCUCUGUUGGUCUGAUGUCCCCGUACCCCGGAUCUCAGUGAUUUUCUCCCUGGAGGAGUUGAAGGAGAUUGAGAAGGACUGUGCUGUCUAUGUUGGGCGCAUGGAGAGAGUGGCCCGUCACAGCUCUGUCAGCAAGGAGGAGAAGGAAUUACGUAUGGAAAUUGCAAAACAGGAAUUAAUUGCUCAUGCCCGGGAAGCAGCCUCCAGGGUCCUGAGUGCACUGAGUGACCGGCAGAUGUCAGAGCGGAUGGCCUUGGACGCCCGGAAGCGCGAGCAGUUUCAGAGGCUGAAGGAACAGUUUGUGAAGGACCAGGAGCGACGCCAGGCGGCCAGGCAGGAGGAGCUGGAUGACGACUUCAGCUAUGCCCGUGAGCUCCGAGACAGGGAGAGGAGGCUGAAGUCCCUGGAGGAGGAGCUGGAGAGGAAGGCAAGGCAGGCGCUGGUCGACCACUACAGCAAGCUCUCUGCAGAGGCAGCUCGUCGGGAGCAGAAGGCGCUGUGGAGAAUCCAGAGGCACCGACUGGAGAGUGCACGGCUUCGCUUUCUCUUAGAAGAUGAGAAACGCAUUCAGGAAAUGCUGAAAGCGAUGACUGAGGCUCACCAGCCCCAGGAGCCGCCAGACUUUCUUUUGAGCCCACACUCCCAGGUCACAUCUAGCCCUGAGCACCCAGACGGAGGCCAAGGCUGUGAUUCUGGGACUGCAGAGCAACACUCGGCUUCCUGGGAUUGCCCAAACAGGCCAGACCUGUGGACCCCACAGCCCCUUAAGCCUCUAGCAGUGGGAGCUGGUGGCCCAGGGCUGCAGCAGGCAGAGGAGCCUGGGUCCUUUUCCGACAACCUCAGCAUUGGAGACUUCCUACCUGUGGGCCCAGGGGCUGAGCAGUCUUUGCAGACUGGCACGGUCCCUCUCCUGGAGGCAGCGCUGCAGACCAUCAGCUCGGACCUGCCCGCCUCACCUCCUGGGGAGGCACCCGCAGCAGCCAACACUCAGCCCUCCAAGCCACAGGAGUACGACUUUAGUACUGUCCUGAGGCCGGCUGUGGCCGCCUCACCUUCACCAGGGCCCCUCCAGCCUGCAGAGUGCAGCUUGGGCGGCUUGGGGCCACAGCUGUGGGAGGACAUUCAUGGGAAGCUGGAUGCCUGUGUCUCUGCCUUGCAGGUGGCCCUGCCUCCCUCACACCCACCCAGGUGUGCCGCCCUGGAGGAGGGGAGCAGCCAGCACAUAGAGCAGCUUUCUGAGCAUGUGUCAGAGGGUGGUGUUCCCACAGGGGGCUACAAUUCUGGAAUAGCUCCCACUCAGCCACAGUGGAAUACCCACAGGCUUGUGUCCGAUGCCAACAUCAGGGUCGGGGAGCAAAUGUCAGAUGCAGCUCCCACCCGGCCACGGUGGAACAUCCAUGGGCACGUGUCUGAUGCCAGUAUCAGGGUUGGGGAGAACGUGUCGGACGUGGCUCCCACCCGGCCACGUUUGAACAUCCAUGGACACGUGUCCGAUGCCAGCAUCAGAGUUGGGGAGAAUGUGUCAGACGUGGCUCCUACCCGGCCACGGUGGAACACCCAUGGGCACGUGUCCGAUGCCAGCAUCAGCUUGGGGGUAUGUGUGUCGGACGUGGCUCCCACCCGGCCACGGUGGAACACCCAUGGACCCAUUCCUCCGCCCCACGUGAUGAUGGGGGCCCUCUCACCAGAAACUGAGUCCAACACACCCAGGCCCCAGCAGAGCCUCCCUGGCCACAUGUCCCAGUCAGUGCUCAGCCUGGGAGCACAGAACGCUGCUCUGGACUGUGGGCCACAGCUGCCUGUAGAAGUGGGGCCAUCUCUCUCCUCCCCCAGCUUAGGCUGUGGGGAGGAGAGCACCAGCAUGGGAGAGAACGUGUUGGCCUUGGCUCCCACUGUGCCACAGUGGAACAUCGAGGGACACGUGUCCAACACCACCAUCAGCAUGGGGGAGAACGUGUUGGACAUGGCUCCCUCCCGGCCACAGUGGAACAUCGAGGGACACGUGUCCGACGACACCAUCAGCAUGGGAGAGAACACAUCGGAUGUGGCUCCCACCCGGCCAUGCUGGCCCAACACUCUGGGAGACAGUGUCUCUGAAGAACCAGGCCCUGGGAGGAAUGAAGACACUGAGGAGCUCUCUCCAAAUUGGCCUCUGAACUCACAGGAAGACGCAGCUGCCCAGAGCAGCCCAGGACCUGGUGAGGCGGCGGCGGCGGAGGCCUGGGACGGGGAGCAGGCCUACCUGGCGGGCCUGUCAGGGCAGUACCACUUAGAGCGGUACCCGGACAGUUACGAGUCCAUGUCCGAGCCACCCGUCGCUCAUCUUCUGCGCCCCGUGCUUCCCCGGGCCUUCGCCUUCCCCGUGGACCCCCAGGUCCAGCCCGCCGCAGAUGAGACCGCUGUGCAGCUGAGUGAGUUGCUGACGCUGCCUGUGCUCAUGAAGCGCUCCAUCACGGCGCCGCUGGCCGCCCACAUCUCCUUGGUGAACAAGGCUGCCGUUGACUACUUCUUCGUGGAGCUGCACCUGGAGGCACACUAUGAGGCGCUGCGGCACUUCCUGCUGAUGGAGGACGGCGAGUUUGCCCAGUCCCUCAGUGACCUGCUCUUUGAGAAGCUUGGGGCCGGGCAGACGCCUGGGGAGCUGCUUAACCCGCUGGUACUGAACUCCGUGCUGAGCAAGGCCCUGCAGUGCAGCCUGCACGGGGACACCCCGCACGCCUCCAACCUCUCCCUCGCCCUCAAGUACCUUCCCGAGGUGUUUGCCCCCAAUGCCCCGGAUGUGCUGAGCUGCCUGGAGCUCAGGUGGACUGGCCCCUCAACGUCGUCAUCACCGAGGGCUGCCUGAGCAAGUACAGCGGCGUCUUCUCCUUCCUGCUGCAGCUGAAGCUCAUGAUGUGGGCACUCAAGGACAUCUGCUUCCACCUCAAGCGCACAGCCCUGCUGAGCCACAUGGCCAGCUCCGUGCAGUUCCGCCAGCUGCAGCUGUUCAAGCAUGAGAUGCAGCACUUUGUGAGGGUCAUCCAGGGCUACAUUGCCAACCAGAUCCUGCACGUCACCUGGUGCGAGUUCAGGGCCAGGCUGGCCACCGUGGGCGACCUGGAGGAGAUGCAGCGUGCGCAUGCGGAGUACCUGCACAAGGCCGUCUUCAGGUGAGGCCUGGGCACUGUUGCGUCCCUCGCCCUGGGGUGGCAGCUCAGCCCACCCAGCAGCACUGCUUCCCCCCAGGGGCCUGCUCACGGAGAAGGCGGCGCCCGUCAUGAACAUCAUCCACAGCAUCUUCAGCCUCGUGCUCAAGUUCCGCAGCCAGCUCAUCUCCCAGGCCUGGGUCCCUGCUGGGGGCCCACGGGGUGCAGAACACCCCAACUUUGCACUCAUGCAGCAGUCCUACAACACCUUCAAGUACUACUCCCACUUUCUCUUCAAAGUGGUGACCAAGCUGGUGAACCGCGGCUACCAGCCUCACCUGGAGGACUUCCUGCUGCGCAUCAACUUCAACAACUACUACCAGGAUGCCUGAGGCUGCUCUGCCGGGGACAUGCACAAUAAACGUGUCCUUGAACCCUG